rnacentral:rRNA from 1 species
AUUGAACGCUGGCGGCAUGCCUUACACAUGCAAGUCGAACGGCAGCACGGGGGCAACCCUGGUGGCGAGUGGCGAACGGGUGAGUAAUACAUCGGAACGUGUCCUGUAGUGGGGGAUAGCCCGGCGAAAGCCGGAUUAAUACCGCAUACGCUCUACGGAGGAAAGGGGGGGAUCUUAGGACCUCCCGCUACAGGGGCGGCCGAUGGCAGAUUAGCUAGUUGGUGGGGUAAAGGCCUACCAAGGCGACGAUCUGUAGCUGGUCUGAGAGGACGACCAGCCACACUGGGACUGAGACACGGCCCAGACUCCUACGGGAGGCAGCAGUGGGGAAUUUUGGACAAUGGGCGAAAGCCUGAUCCAGCAAUGCCGCGUGUGUGAAGAAGGCCUUCGGGUCGUAAAGCACUUUUGUCCGGAAAGAAAACCUCCGCCCUAAUAUGGUGGGGGGAUGACG